CAUAGUCAAUAGAAUAUAAACAAGAUUUGGAAACUUGAUGGAAUACAAUACAACUCACUAUCUAUGUUUUUGUCUAUACAAGUUGAUGCAAAGAUUGAUCACCUCACCAUCAUUGAUGUAAAGCAUUGCUAUUGGUUGGUUGGGCGAAAAUACAACACACACAUGAUGAUUUAAGUGACCAAUUUUUGCAUAAACUGAGACAAAAACAGAGAUAAUGAGUUGUAUUGUAUUCCAUCGAGUUUACAAUCACAUUGCCUAUAUUCUAUUGACCAUG